UACGUAGGGGGCUAGCGUUGUCCGGAAUCAUUGGGCGUAAAGAGCGUGUAGGCGGUCCGGUAAGUCCGCUGUGAAAGUCCAGGGCUCAACCCUGGAAUGCCGGUGGAUACUGUCGGGCUCGAAUCCGGAAGAGGUGAGUGGAAUUCCUGGUGUAGCGGUGAAAUGCGCAGAUAUCAGGAGGAACACCAAUGGCGAAGGCAGCUCACUGGGACGGUAUUGACGCUGAGACGCGAAAGCGUGGGGAGCGAACAGG
rnacentral:rRNA from 1 species